CCUACGGGAGGCAGCAGUAGGGAAUCUUCCACAAUGGACGAAAGUCUGAUGGAGCAACGCCGCGUGUGUGAUGAAGGGUUUCGGCUCGUAAAACACUGUUGUAAGAGAAGAAUGACAUUGAGAGUAACUGUUCAGUGUGUGACGGUAUCUUACCAGAAAGGAACGGCUAAAUACGUGCCAGCAGCCGCGGUAAUACGUAUGUUCCAAGCGUUAUCCGGAUUUAUUGGGCGUAAAGCGAGCGCAGACGGUUGUUGACAGCAGGAGUGAACGCCGAGAGCAUAACUGGAGGAGUGCUGUGGAAACUGGAUAACUUGAGUGGAAUGAAGGAGGGAGGAACGCCAUGUGUAGCGGUGAGAUGCGUAGAGAUAGGGAAGAACACGAGGGGCGAAGGCGGCUCUCGGGACUAUAACUGACGUUGAGGCUCGAAAGUGUGGGUAACAAACCGGAUUAGAUACCCGAGUAGUC
rnacentral:rRNA from 1 species